rnacentral:rRNA from 1 species
UACGGAGGAUGCGAGCGUUAUCCGGAUUUAUUGGGUUUAAAGGGUGCGUAGGCGGUCUGUUAAGUCAGCGGUAAAAUUGCGGGGCUCAACCCCGUCGAGCCGUUGAAACUGGCAGACUUGAGUUGGCGAGAAGUACGCGGAAUGCGCGGUGUAGCGGUGAAAUGCAUAGAUAUCGCGCAGAACUCCGAUUGCGGAGGCAGCGUACCGGCGCCAGACUGACGCUGAGGCACGAAAGCGUGGGGAUCGAACAGG